GAUGAACGCUGGCGGCGUGCCUAAUACAUGCAAGUAGAACGCUGAAGGAGGAGCUUGCUCUUUCCGGAUGAGUUGCGAACGGGUGAGUAACGCGUAGGUAACCUGCCUGGUAGCGGGGGAUAACUAUUGGAAACGAUAGCUAAUACCGCAUAACAGUAGAUAUUGCAUGAUAUUUGCUUGAAAGGGGCAAUUGCUCCACUACCAGAUGGACCUGCGUUGUAUUAGCUAGUUGGUGAGGUAACGGCUCACCCAGGCGACGGUACAUAGCCGAACUGAGAGGGCGCAGGGACCCACUACGACUGAGACACAGCCCAGAAACCUACAAGAGGCAGCAGAAAGAAAUCUCGGGCAAUCGACGGAAGUCUCACCGCGGAACGCCGAGUGAGAGCGGAAGAAUUUCGGAUCGCAAAACUCUGUUGUAACAGAAUAACGAGUGUGGGAGUGGAAAGUUCACAAUGUGACGGUAUCUUACCAGAAAGACACGGCUAACUACGUG
rnacentral:rRNA from 1 species